AGCAGCCGCGGUAAUUCCAGCUCCAAUAGCGUAUAUUAAAGUUGUUGCAGUUAAAAAGCUCGUAGUUGAAUUUCGGGACCAUCAUGUUGGUCGUGCCUCGGUACGUACUGGCAUUGUUGGUUUCUCCCUUCUGACGAACCAUGAUGUCAUUUAUUUGGUGUUGUGGGAAAUCAGGACUGUUACUUUGAAAAAAUUAGAGUGUUUAAAGCAGGCUCACGCUUGAAUACAUUAGCAUGGAAUAAUGAAAUAGGACGUUUGAUUCUAUUUUGUUGGUUUCUAGGAUCGACGUAAUGAUUAAUAGGGAUAGUUGGGGGCAUUAGUAUUCAAUUGUCAGAGGUGAAAUUCUUGGAUUUAUUGAAGACUAACUACUGCGAAAGCAUUUGCCAAGGAUGUUUUCAUUAAUCAAGAACGAAAGUUAGGGGAUCGAAGACGAUCAGAUACCGUCGUAGUCUUAACCAUAAACUAUGCCGACUAGGGAUCGGAUGAUGUUAAUUUAAUGACUCA
rnacentral:rRNA from 1 species